GAUUGCAUAAUUUCUCUCUGUAAUCGCGGCUG
rnacentral:ncRNA from 1 species